CAUUUUCUCAGUGUAACAUUCCCUGGUGAGGGCUACAUCUAUAUGUUCCUCAACAAAUGUUAAUGUACCACAAAGAUGCACAACACAAUAUCUAUAGAGCCUUUUCCUUAUUUUUCUCUAGAUAUCUCUACCGUGGGAGUCGUAGUUUUGGAAUCAAAAGCAGCUUGUGUUUGACCUCAUUUUAGUUAUUGUAGUACUUUCUCCCAGACAGUAGUACCC